ACGACAUUUGCCGAAAAUUUCGCUUCUUUUAUUGAGUAAAUUGUCUUUGUUUAUGUCUUUCAAAAUGCAAAAUUUUUCUUCCAAACAUUGAAAGACAUGAACAAAGACAAUUUACUCAAUAAAAGAAGCGAAAUUUUCGGCAAAUGUUGU